rnacentral:rRNA from 1 species
UGAGGAAUAUUGGUCAAUGGACGCAAGUCUGAACCAGCCAUGCCGCGUGAAGGAUGAAGGCGUUCUGCGUUGUAAACUUCUUUUAUCAGGGAAGAAACCUCUUUAUUCUUAGAGAGCCGACGGUACCUGAGGAAUAAGCACCGGCUAACUCCGUGCCAGCAGCCGCGGUAAUACGGAGGGUGCAAGCGUUAUCCGGAUUUACUGGGUUUAAAGGGUGUGUAGGCGGGCCUUUAAGUCCGUGGUGAAAUACCAGUGCUUAACACUGGAACUGCCAUGGAUACUAUGGGUCUUGAAUGUUGAUGAGGUGGGCGGAAUGUAUCAUGUAGCGGUGAAAUGCUUAGAUAUGAUACAGAACACCGAUUGCGAAGGCAGCUCACUAAACAACGAUUGACGCUGAGGCACGAAAGCGUGGGGAUCAAACAG